rnacentral:ncRNA from 1 species
UAUAAACCGAUGAAGCGGAAAUCAAACGAAACAAAGAACCCAAAGAGAGCUCAAGAUGGUGGAAAUUGAGCGGUGACUAUUUCGCAAAUGGACCGUUGAGGGUGUAGUGAAAAGAAUUCUUAGUAGCGUACAACGUCUCAUUCUCGUUAACGAAUGUUUGGAUUUAUUCGAAUUCAAUAAAGUGUACAAGUAUACUUGUAAAUAAAGGUGGCACCGCGGGUAGUUUACUCGUCCUUGAC